AGUGAACGCUGGCGGUAGGCCUAACACAUGCCAGUCGAACGGCAGCACAGUAAGAGCUUGCUCUUACGGGUGGCGAGUGGCGGACGGGUGAGGAAUACAUCGGAAUCUACUUUUUCGUGGGGGAUAACGUAGGGAAACUUACGCUAAUACCGCAUACGACCUACGGGUGAAAGCAGGGGAUCUUCGGACCUUGCGCGAUUGAAUGAGCCGAUGUCGGAUUAGCUAGUUGGCGGGGUAAAGGCCCACCAAGGCGACGAUCCGUAGCUGGUCUGAGAGGAUGAUCAGCAACACUGGGACUUAGACACGGUCCAGACUCCUACGGGAGGCAGCAGUGGGGAAUAUUGGACAAUGGGCGCAAGCCUGAUCCAGCCAUACCGCGUGGGUGAAGAAGGCCUUCGGGUUGUAAAGCCCUUUUGUUGGGAAAGAAAAGCAGCAGGUUAAUACCCCGCUGUUCUGACGGUACCCAAAGAAUAAGCACCGGCUAACUUCGUG
rnacentral:rRNA from 1 species